UACGUAGGUGGCAAGCGUUGUCCGGAUUUACUGGGCGUAAAGGAUGCGUAGGCGGACAUUUAAGUCAGAUGUGAAAUACCCGAGCUUAACUUGGGUGCUGCAUUUGAAACUGGGUGUCUAGAGUGCAGGAGAGGUAAGUGGAAUUCCUAGUGUAGCGGUGAAAUGCGUAGAGAUUAGGAAGAACACCAGAAGCGAAGGCGGCCAACUGGCCCGAUACUGACGCUGAGGCGCGAAAGCGUGGGGAGCAAACAGG
rnacentral:rRNA from 1 species